AUUUGUAUAGUUUAAUAAAAACAUUGUAUUUUCAUUGCAAAAUUAGACCUCAUCUUACAAAUA
rnacentral:tRNA from 1 species